UUUUUAUGACUUAAAAUUAUUGUUAGCAUUUGAUUUUCGGGAUGAAGGUUGACCACUGUCUCAUGGUCAACCUGACCUUUUCUUGGAAUUUUAUUUCAUAUUUUCAAUUUAUUUUGGAUUUAUUUUUGACUUAGUUUGGUUGGUUGACUUUUAAUUUGACUUCUGUUUUAUUUUUAUUAAUUCACGUACCAAUUUUCAUUAUGUUUAAAAUCUUUUUGGGGGAUGAUGAUGUCCUGACCCCACCUUAUUUAGUUUAAUUUUUCAUAAUUUUCUUGAUUAAUUUACUAUUUAUUCUUGAUUUAUUUCUAACCUAGUCUUAUUAAUUAACUUUUGGUUU
rnacentral:lncRNA from 1 species